rnacentral:lncRNA from 1 species
UGGCUGCGGCCUCGGCUCAAUUCACUGAAAACAUCUGUUCAAUUCCAUUCAAUCCAACUAAAAAAUGAACCAGAAUCAUAAGGAAAAUUGAGUUGUGUUAUAUCUCACCUGAUAUGUGCAUAUUUAAUACAUAUGGGUUAGAAAAAUAAUGCCAUUAAACUAAAAGGUUUGUACAAAAAGGAUAGAGCAAUUAUAUGCGUCAUAUUAUCUGUAGACGUAGAAGACGCAAUCUUUUAGUUAUAUUGAAAAUGUCCUGUUUUCAGAGAGAAAAAAUAUAUCAGGAGUUUCAAAUCCGGAAGGAGGUGGGUGGGGGUGAGGUGAAGGGGGUGGUUGAGUGGGGCUGCUGGCUUUCUUUGGCGUAAAGUUGAAGGAGAAAUUUCUGCCAGCAAUGGGAAGAGGGUGCAGUUGAGGUGGGAUGGGUAGAAGGCAGUAAUGGUCCUAAUGGAGGUGGUU